GCUGAUCGGGUGCGGGUGCGACUGCCUGUGUGCCUCCAUUGGCAUCUCUGCCUGUGGGCCCCAGGCCAGAAGUAAUGGCCCAUGUAGCCCAGGCCCGGGGGCCAGUCCUCAGCAUUUUGCGGAGGGGCGGCCUGGGAGGGGAGGAGGGGAUCCCUGGAUAGGGGGUCUCCCCUGGUCUGCCCCAGCUGUGCCGACAGCACCUCCACCUUGGGCCUCCAUCCUCUACCAGCAGAGAAGAGAGUGGCCCAUUCGGUGUCCACCCGUCAGGCCACCCAGCAGCCAGGCACGCUCAUAAGCCCGCGUUACGGAUGGUGCGGCCGGGUGCACAGGCCCGAGGGAAGCACAGGCCUCGGCCUCCCAGCUCCCAACCCCUGCACCACCCACAGCCGGGAGUACCCCAUGGACAGCUGUGGCCGAGGAGAAGCCAGGGAUGAGGGGGAUGGGCCUCACCUCCCCACCAGCCUGGGAAGGGGGUAGGCCCCUGGCAAGUAGGUGAGAAGCUUUUUCAUUCACAAGUUGUCCGGGCUCCCCAUUCCUCUUUGUCAGGCCAGCGGGUGUGGGCAGUCGGGGGAGGCUGGGGUCCUGACACAACAGGAGUACAUCUGCUGGCCUAGGGCCUGGAGACCUUCUCCUACAGGUCGGGAGGCAGCCCUGGGCAGCGGGCAUUGCGGGGACUAAAGAGAAACAAGAGCAGGUUGUGUGCAGGGCACCCCAGCCACUCCAGAAACCCAAUGGGAGGGUGGGGGCUAGGACCCCAAGAAGCUGAAUUGGGGUGCAGUGCCGCCAGGCCUCCCCUGUAGGAGUCACUUUGGGCUUCCUGUCCCAACUUGUGGUGGGAGCUGGGGCAAGGUUCCAGGGGUACCCCGAAUGAAUGGGGCUGUUCCCAAGCUGGCCAGGGAGCCUGGAAGCAGAUGAGAUGGGGCCGCAGAGCCUGGUUUGCGGAGGGGAGAGGCAGACGUGUCCUGCAGCCCUCUCUUCUUCAGAGGCCCCCUGCGGGUGCUGAGGGGAGAGUGGCUUAGGCGUUGCACCCCAGGAGACUGAACUGGGUCAGUUCCCCCUUGUUUGCUGCCAGAGAAAUGGGGGUACCAUUGUCAGGGUGAGCUAAGGAGGCCCUGCUGACAUUGGCCCAACCAGGCCCCUCCUUUGCGGCUGCUGUGGGGACUUUCGAGAGCAGAGCACACCCCUAAGUGCGUGGAGAGGUAAGCACAGCUGGUGAGCACACGGGGACAGCGACGGAGCUCAUGGAGACCCAGGUGACCUUAAAACACCCCAGGGCCGGCUCCGGCCCCAGAGAGAUGUGGUCCGAGUAGAGGGGGGUCAGCAGUGACCUGGUGGGUGGGUGUAUUUGAGGGGUGCCUGUGUUGAAAGCUCUGCAGUAGAUUCUAAGGAGCAGCCAGGGCUGAGACUCCCGGUGCUGAGCCCAAGGCCCCUUUCCUUCCUGCAGGAGUUCAUCUUGGCUCUUGCAGCCCCCAUGACCCUGUGGCGCUGGGGGGCGGCUAGCAUGAUGCUCCCCAUUUUUCAGGAGGGAAGCUGAGGCUCAGAGACAUCAUGAGGAUGCCAGCUCAAGGCCCAGCCAGGCCUUGGUCCUCAGCUGCUGUCAUCCAGUAGGGUAAGUGGGACCCCCAGGAGGUGUUGGGGGACACUCCUCCCCUCCCCCACACUCACAGUCUGUUCACCGCCCAAGGCAGCAGGCUGGACUCGGUGCAGGGACCAUGGCUUGGCGUGGCCAGGUUGGAGUGGCCCCUGGGACUGAAAGCAGGGGGCGUGGGGGCUCUGAGGCGGGGCCGAGUGCGGGGACGUCCUGUGGCGGGUACCCUGCUGGGUCCUGGGUGGGGGCCACCACCAGGCAGCUGUGGGAACAUUCCAGACCACCUAGGAGUAGGGCCCCUUCACCGUUUGAAGCUGACUGUAAAAAACAUCUGACCUGUGUGCAAAGCUCAAGCCCAGAGGCCUCCAGGGUGUCCAGCCUCCAGGGUGCCUCCUACGCAGCCUCCACGUCCCCAUCCACUGCAGCCCCUGACCAUCGGGCACACCGUGGGGCCUUCGCUGGCCGCCGGGCCUCAGGUUCUGCUGCACCAAGUGAUUUUUAAAGCCCCAUCUGCCUUUCUCCACUUAUAAAGAACUUGGGACAUU
rnacentral:lncRNA from 1 species